AAAAAAUGGAAAUGAUGACCAUGAAGCAUAGAUGAUUUCAUUUGCAGUUCAUCAUUUUCCAAAGAUCACUUCUGAAUGAUGUGAACAAUGAAAGAGAGAUCAGAAUUGACCCAUGAGAGUAAGAAAAUGCGUACAAUAAGUUCUAAGGAAGAACAAGAAAUCAAACAAACAAAAAACGUGACUGAGAUUUAAUAACAGGAAAUGAGACAUAGAAUAAAUUAAGUGAAAAAAGCCUUGGGCUUAAAAUAUAACACUGCAGAAGGGUUGGAAGUAGGACUUCUGUUUAAUAAUACAUCAGUGCCACUGUUUUGGUGAAGGUCAAUUCCAAAUAAUUCAUAAGGUAACUGGCACUGCACCCAGCUCAUCACCAUUUAAUUCUGCAAGUAAAGACGAGAAUGAACUCCUACA